UGGGGAAUAUUGGACAAUGGGCGAAAGCCUGAUCCAGCCAUGCCGCGCGUGUGAAGAAGGUCUUCGGAUUGUAAAGCACUUUAAGUUGGGAGGAAGGGUUGUAGAUUAAUACUCUGCAAUUUUGACGUUACCGACAGAAUAAGCACCGGCUAACUCUGUGCCAGCAGCCGCGGUAAUACAGAGGGUGCAAGCGUUAAUCGGAAUUACUGGGCGUAAAGCGCGCGUAGGUGGUUAGUUAAGUUGGAUGUGAAAUCCCCGGGCUCAACCUGGGAACUGCAUUCAAAACUGACUGACUAGAGUAUGGUAGAGGGUGGUGGAAUUUCCUGUGUAGCGGUGAAAUGCGUAGAUAUAGGAAGGAACACCAGUGGCGAAGGCGACCACCUGGACUGAUACUGACACUGAGGUGCGAAAGCGUGGGGAGCAAACA
rnacentral:rRNA from 1 species